rnacentral:rRNA from 1 species
CCUACGGGAGGCAGCAGUGAGGAAUAUUGGUCAAUGGACGAGAGUCUGAACCAGCCAAGUAGCGUGAAGGAUGACUGCCCUAUGGGUUGUAAACUUCUUUUAUAAAGGAAUAAAACGAGGCACGUGUGCCUUUUUGCAUGUACUUUAUGAAUAAGGAUCGGCUAACUCCGUGCCAGCAGCAGCGGUAAUACGGAGGAUCCGAGCGUUAUCCGGAUUUAUUGGGUUUAAAGGGAGCGUAGAUGGGUUGUUAAGUCAGUUGUGAAAGUUUGCGGCUCAACCGUAAAAUUGCAAUUGAUACUGGGAGUCUUGAGUACAGUUGAGGUAGGCGGAAUUCGUGGUGUAGCGGUGAAAUGUUUAGAUAUCACGAAGAACCCCGAUUGCGAAGGCAGCUUACUAAACUGUGACUGACAUUGAUGCUCGAAAGUGUGGGUAUCAAACAGGAUUAGAUACCCCAGUAGUC